GCGGCAGGAGAGAAGCGCGGGAGCAGGCAGGGCGCCGGUUGCUGUGAAGAGGGCGGAGGGGCGGGGGCGAGGGCGGCGCAGGCGGAAGGACGAGCCGGGAAGAGCGGAAAAAUCGGCCGAUGGUGCCGCUGCCUCAGUUCUGCCCGCUUCUGUAGCCUCCUUGCUGGGUACAGCGGAGCAGAAAGAGCCUUAGUGUUCCCUCCCAAUCCCCCAGUAAGAAGCUAGCGCUGAAACGUGGGAGGCGUGGUAGCCACCGACAUUUAAUGCCUCUCUCCCGCUCGAUUUCUGAAGGUUCUGCGGCCUGGAGACGGCAUCGCGGGCACGCUUCAACUGUAGGGGACGGUAUUCUGAACAGGCAAGAGCCUGUGACUCAGGGGUGGUCCCUCCGCACCUUCAGAUGAGAAGCUGAAGACGUACAGCUCCAGCCUGACGUCCGUGGGGGGUACACCAAAGCCCCCGAUGUGGCCAGAGGUAACCCAAUAGGCUCCCCCGUUACGCCAGAUUAUCCCUGGAGAAUUCACUCUCCACCACGUGAAAGGAAGAGACGAAAAGUUUGGGGACUCGAUAUAAGUCGGGAAGCAGCAGCUGGUCAGCUCUUUGCAUGCUUUGAGUCUAAUUACACAGAGCACAAAUCCAUUGCCCAUGAAGAAAAGGAACACUAGAAUGAGCCCUCUGAAAAAACCCAGGUGGUUGCCUUGACUCCUCACCUCUGAUUUACCCGCCUUCUCUGCUUCCUAAAGCUAAACAAAGUAUCACUAUGUCCUAGAAGAUGAAGCUCGCCAGGAAGCUGCUGUUUGGAAGCUUUUGUUCACCAAAUGCCUGCGAUUCUCCCAACACACCAUUCUCGUGGUACUCCAAGUGCAGAGGAUUGAGUGGAUCAGGUCCCUCAGCUCAUUGCAUCCUGUACUAUCAUCAUCACUUGUCCAUUCAGGGUCUCUCUCUUAAUUUAUUUAUUGCUUUCAUCCCCAUAACCACUUCCCGUAAUAGGCAAUCGUUCUAAUGUUUUUAACAUGUGUCUCCUGUUUUGUCCCCUGUUCACUUAGUCGUGAUGUCUCUGGUUGAACAAAAGUCCUUAAAUUUAAUGUAAUCAGACCCACCAACUUUGGGCCUUAUGGCUGGUGCUUUUGAAGUUAAAAACUUUUUUCCUGCCACAAAGGCGAAAGUCUACAUCUUCAAUAAACUUCAUAGCAUUACCUUUCACUUUUGGGCCCUUUAUCCAUUUGGAAUCUAUCUUUCGUGUGUAGUGUUGAGAUCUAUCUGUAUUUAUCUAGUUAGCCAGGUUCCCAGAACCAUCUGUUAAGCCAUUCUUUUCCCCACUGAUAGGUGGUGGUGUUACCUUUAACCUACAUAAAAUGCCUUUUUUGGAUGGGCCUGCCUCUGUGAUCUCCUGUGUUUUGUUGGUCUAUUUAUUCUUGUCCCAGUAUAGAACAUAUGUCCCCAGCUGCUUUCUUCCCUCUCUCAUGUCACCACGAUUCCUUUUAUGUAUACUUGCUUUGUCCCCUAUAUUGGAAGAAAGGAUUUUUGGAGGUGAGGGGGUAGGGUAUUGGACUUGUAAGUUCCGGAUCCUCUUUGGCAGACUGAGGGAGACUGUGAACUCCCACAUUGGUAAAUAUGCUCCUUCCCAAAUGAAUCGACCAUGGCACAGUCCUGGUCCCCUUUUCUGCUCUUUACCCCUGCUGUGCCUUUCUCCUCAGUAACAGUCAAUAUGACCUAUAAUGAAACAAAAGAAAAGAGAAAAUUGCCGUGACAUUUUUUCUUUCAAAAUAAGUUAUUUUUAAGUUAAAUACUCCAGAAGCAGUUUACUUUUAAAUCAAUUACUUAAAUCCCAGAUCAUCUUUUCUUAGAAGGAAAAGAAGGCAUUUAGAAGAAAACUUGCAUAAAAACUAAUUUUUAAUUACUAUUGGUUAAUUCAUUCAUUUACUGAUGGAUAGCUAAGGAACCAGGAGAUUGAUUCAUGAGAACCAAGCUUUAGAUUGAUUCAUGAGAACCAAGCUUUUCCAGUGCGUUCUCUGCCUCCUUCCAUAACCCUGAAGUCGGUGCCUAUACGUGGUGUGUAACGCUGCACCUCACAGACUGAUUCAUUCUAAUGCUUUGUCUUUCAGAAACUUUCCUUCGAAUAGGAAUCUAUAAUGUUGCUGUGAUGUUUUUUCCUGCACUUGAGUGGUGUUGAAUGCUCUGAGUAAUGAGAGCUGCAGGAGGAGACACUACUGUACACUCUGCCAAGACACAUCACUGAAUCACUUUUUACAAACUCUCAGUGAGUGGACACCCUUCAGUGCCAUCCUAAGUUGAGUAGUGUUCUGGAACAUGUUUGUUCCAUUGUCAGCUCUUUUUAUUCAGUUUUUGUGUCUGUACGUUCUAACACACGUCAUGGUUGACCAAUGGUGUGCAUGUGGUGGUUAACACUAUACCUGCUGGAAGAAACAAAGGAAGAACACCAUGCCAUUUGUUAUAUCAUGCCUUUCUGCUGUUCAAGCUGCCUCCAAGGAAAUAGUUUAGAGAACACAGAGAAAUUUGGGAUUGAUGGAAGUCGUUUUGGCAUUAUAAGGGGCAUCAUAACAUUGCAGGCUGAGAGGUUUGGCCAGUCUUAUUAAUAAGAACUGAAAGAAACUGGAGCAAGGCGUGGUGUGACUUCAUGGGAUUUCAAGGGGUUCAAAGAGCUGCGGCUGACUUACAGCACCAUGAUCAGCUGUAAGUGAGCAAUAGCUGGUGGGACAGCUGUUUCAUAUAGUUCUGAGUAAGUUAGCUAAAUGGUUAAGAUCAAGCUUUGGCAGCAGACAGACUUGAGUUUCAAUCCCGGACAUUUUACUAGCUGUGUGACCUCGUGAAGGAGACUUAACUUCUGAGACUUAGUUUCCCCAUCUUUAAAAUGGAGAUAAAAUAUAGGCAACUGCCUCAAGGUUGUUGUGAGAAUUAAAUAAGAAUGCACCGUACACUCAGGUGCUGGCUAUUAUCCUUCUUUGUACUGAAAGCUUUGUCAGAAGCCUUGUGUGUUUCACAGAGAGUGCCUUUGACUUAGGCUGGAGAAGUGGAAGUAUCCUGCUUCCACCACCAACCACUUAGGAUCUCAGGAAAAUUACUCAACUUUGGAGUUACAAUGUCAUCUUUAAAAUGUUGAUGAAAUGAAGUAAACUAAGCAAAAGGGUAAAGUUAAGAGCAAUGAAAAGGUGAGAUGGCUUCUGCUGAUUCUUCUUUGGCUUUUACCAGUGAGGCUCAAAAUAGAAUCAAAAAAAUUCCAAGCUGGGCAGUCCAGUAAAAGCAGUCUGGUUUUGUGUGCCACUAAGCUCUGUGUUUUGUGCCGUCUAUGUGAAACCAGUCGAGUACAUCAGGAGACCCUCUGCUGCAACUCAAAAAGAGUGAUUAACCGUUAAAUUUUCAAACACAUUUCAGUUGACUGCUUGGCUCAUGGGCCCACUUCCAUUGGUGAAAGCCACAGGCACACUCCAGGAGGUGAACAAAAGCUUGUGUGCUACAUAGUGGACACAAGACUAUGUCUCUAUGUGACAGACACCCAUGCACAGAAGUGCAGUAUCACUGUACUUCUCUUUGUAGCAGAAAUAUCUAUCGUGAGCAUACAACUAGGUAGAGCUCUCAUUAUGUCGAAGUGAAAUAGCUAAUAAAUUAUUAUAGGAAAGAGCUGUGUUGGAAGAACUGCUUUCCAUUUUAAGCUUAUACUCACUUGUUUUUAUAAAUGUUCUCCAUACCACAUGUUACUCUGAUAAUGUCUAGACUAUCAGAUUAAAUGUUCCAGAGCACAUACAAAGUAUCAAGAUGUAAG
rnacentral:lncRNA from 1 species